rnacentral:sRNA from 1 species
UGUCAUUCCAAUAAAUAGAGAGAAGGGAUCUUCCAAGAAGAAACACAAAUGUCACCAAGUUUUAUGCUAAUUGCUUAAUAAAAAGCAAUGUAGCAAAUGUAAGUCAAGGUUUUGUUUCUGUUGACAGCACUUUUUCAGAAGGAUUGAGUGGACUGUUUUUCUGUCCACAGAUGUCCACAGAGUGACUGAUAAAGCAGAAGAUUAUGUAGUGUGAAAACAAAAGCAGCGAGUGUGUGUCCAGUCAAGAGUCCAGCCUCACAUUAUUUCAACUUUACUGACAAUAGUGACAGGAAACUUCAGGAUGAUGAAUAUGGCUAUCACUGUUUUCCCUGUUGUGAACUGUAAUACUGAGACAUUGAGAAGCACUGCACAACCUUCUUUCAGAAGAACAAGAUGAAUAGAUGCACAGUCUCAUGGCCUUGUCACUCCGAACAGAGCUGUGUGAUAGUGUCUCAGCACCA